rnacentral:rRNA from 1 species
CUCCUAGUACGAGAGGACCGGAGUGGACGCAUCACUGGUGUUCGGGUUGUCAUGCCAAUGGCACUGCCCGGUAGCUAAAUGCGGAAGAGAUAAGUGCUGAAAGCAUCUAAGCACGAAACUUGCCCCGAGAUGAGUUCUCCCUGAGACUUWRAGUCUCCUGAAGGAACGUUGAAGACGACGACGUUGAUAGGCCGGGUGUGUAAGCGCAGCGAUGCGUUGAGCUAACCGGUACUAAUGAACCGUGAGGCUUAACCUUACAACGCCGAAG